UCUCUCCGCUCCAGCCUGACUGCUCCGCUCGCAUCUACGAGCUGCCUUCAAGACCCAAUUCCCCCGGGUCCCGGGCAGACAAGUCGCGGACCCGGCGCAACCCCUCCCAGCCCCACAGCGGUCGCGCUCCGAGCGCAGCAACCCAAGCCGGGCGCGCCCUGGCCACAGGCUGCCCCGCGUGCGACUCACCUGUCGGCGGCGCCACUCCCACGGGUUGCGAGAGACACCCGACGACUUGGCAGCCCAACCAUCUGCAGCCAGAGUCCCACCAAUCCGCCGCUCCCGCCUCUCCUGCAGCGCGGGAUUUGGAGACCUUCCCAUCUAGCGCCUUUGAACACCCCUCGCCGCAGCCAAACUCCCUCUGGGCCAACCCGGAGCAGCACAGGACCGGAGGCAAAAAUUCCAUCGAAACACAAGGAGGACACAGGAACAGGCCUUAGAGAUAGUAACAGUAGCUAUCAUUUAUUAAGCAUCCACCAUAUAAAAGACACUGAAAGUAUUUUAUCUAUAAGGCUUUCCGUUCACCCCCCCAACAAACCUGUAAGUUACAACUCUUUGCGACCCCAUGGACUGUAGCCCACCAGGCUCCUUGUCCAUGGACUUCUCCAAGCAAGAAUACUGGAGUGGGUAGCCAUUCCCCUCUCCAGGAGGCCUUCCCCGACCCAGGGACCAAACCUGCAUCUCCUGCAUUGCCUGCAGCAUCUUUACUGUCUGAGCCACCAGGGAGGCCAGCAAGAUACACAUCUCCACUUUAAUGAGGAGGAAAACAAGGCUCAGAUUGACAGGGUUACCUGCCCAAGGUGGCUCAGCAAGUGAUGGAGAAAAAGAUUUGAAUUCCUGUCUGGCGACCUUCCAUGCUCUUGUAAUAAAGGACAAGGUGUCCAGUAUGUUUUUUUUUUUUUUUUCAUUUUGCCACCCAAAUAUGCCAAACCAUCUGAAUUGCUCCUGUCAGAGGCCCUAACAAGGCAGUUCUAUUCCCCACCCCUCCCCCACCAUAGCUAUGAUGGAUGUCAAAGGUACAAUGAGGAAACUGUAUUUGGAUCUGAGGAAAAGUGGACACAGUCAAAGCCUGUGAAUUCUCACAUGCUAAAUAUUUAAUUUGUUGUUGUUGUUGUACAGUUGCUCAGUUGUGUCUGACUCUUUUGCAACCCCAUGGACUACAGCUCACCAGGCUCCUCUGUCCAUGGAAUUCUCCAGUUUUCAACCUAAAAAUCUAGCCCAAUGCUAAUCAUCAGUAGAUUCUCGAUGGAGACUGGAAGAUGGAUUCAGCUUUCUCUAGCAUCAGCGGAGUUUCAGCUAUUGGCUUUGGUUUCUCCAGUGGUCCUGCCAGCUAAGAAGAAAAACAAUGAAGUGGCUUACUUUCCUUCCUUGAAUUAGAAGUAUACCCAGCCAGCUUCAACAUUGUCUUGUCAAAUCUCAGUAUACCUAUUGUCCAGUGAGCUGGGCCAUGACUGGCUUAGAUGACAGUGUAUUUGUAAAGAGCCCAUGGACUUUGUCAGAGGAAAAUACAGCAUGAAGGCACCGGUUGUGUAUUCCAGAAGAAUGAGGCUAUAUUUUCACCUUGGAGUAAUAGAGUUUGAGUUACUCUUUCAAGACAAAAACAACCAAAAAACAAAAAACACUUUUUUGGGGGGGUGGGAAUCAGAGGAGCAUUAAAAAAAGGUUAUACUA